GACGAACGCUGGCGGCGUGCUUAACACAUGCAAGUCGAGCGGAGCGGCGAACGGGUGAGUAACGCGUGAGUAACUGCCCCCCUCUCUGGGAUAACAGUUGGAAACGGCUGCUUAUACCGGAUAGUGCGGGAUGACUCGCGUCCUAUCAGCUUGUUGGUGGGGUAGUGGCCUCCCAAGGCUACGACGGGUAGCCGGCCUGAGAGGGCGACAGGCCAAAUUGGGCUGAGAUACGGCCCAAACUCCUACGGGAGGCGGCAGUGGGGAAGAUUGCACAAUGGGGGAAACCCGGAGGCAGCAACGCGCGUGCGGAAUGACGGCCUUCGGGGUGUAAACCGCUGUCAGCCAUGACGCGGUAGUGGCAGAAGAAGCACCGGCUAAAGACGAGCCAGCAGCCGCGGUAAUAC
rnacentral:rRNA from 1 species